AUUGAACGCUAGCGGGAUGCUUUACACAUGCAAGUCGAACGGCAGCGCGGACUUCGGUCUGGCGGCGAGUGGCGAACGGGUGAGUAAUGUAUCGGAACGUGCCCAGUAGCGGGGGAUAACUACGCGAAAGCGUAGCUAAUACCGCAUACGCCCUACGGGGGAAAGCAGGGGAUCGUAAGACCUUGCACUAUUGGAGCGGCCGAUAUCGGAUUAGCUAGUUGGUGAGGUAACGGCUCACCAAGGCGACGAUCCGUAGCUGGUUUGAGAGGACGACCAGCCACACUGGGACUGAGACACGGCCCAGACUCCUACGGGAGGCAGCAGUGGGGAAUUUUGGACAAUGGGGGCAACCCUGAUCCAGCCAUCCCGCGUGUGCGAUGAAGGCCUUCGGGUUGUAAAGCACUUUUGGCAGGAAAGAAACGUCGCGGGCUAAUACCCCGUGGAACUGACGGUACCUGCAGAAUAAGCACCGACUAACUACGU
rnacentral:rRNA from 1 species